rnacentral:rRNA from 1 species
CUAAUACCGGAUAGGAGCUCCUGCUGCAUGGUGGGGGUUGGAAAGUUUCGGCGGUUGGGGAUGGACUCGCGGCUUAUCAGCUUGUUGGUGGGGUAGUGGCUUACCAAGGCUUUGACGGGUAGCCGGCCUGAGAGGGUGACCGGCCACAUUGGGACUGAGAUACGGCCCAGACUCCUACGGGAGGCAGCAGUGGGGAAUAUUGCACAAUGGGCGGAAGCCUGAUGCAGCAACGCCGCGUGCGGGAUGACGGCCUUCGGGUUGUAAACCGCUUUCGCCUGUGACGAAGCGUGAGUGACGGUAAUGGGUAAAGAAGCACCGGCUAACUACGUGCCAGCAGCCCGCGGUGAUACGUAGGGUGCGAGCGUUGUCCGGAUUUAUUGGGCGUAAAGGGCUCGUAGGUGGUUGAUCGCGUCGGAAGUGUAAUCUUGGGGCUUAACCCUGAGCGUGCUUUCGAUACGGGUUGACUUGAGGAAGGUAGGGGAGAAUGGAAUUCCUGGUGGAGCGGUGGAAUGCGCAGAUAUCAGGAGGAACACCAGUGGCGAAGGCGGUUCUCUGGGCCUUUCCUGACGCUGAGGAGCGAAAGCGUGGGGAGCGAACAGGCUUAGAUACCCUGGUAGUCCAUGCCGUAAACGAUGUCUACUAGCCGUUGGGGCCUUUGAGGCUUUAGUGGCGCAGCUAACGCGAUAAGUAGACCGCCUGGGGAGUACGGUCGCAAGACUAAAACUCAAAUGAAUUGACGGGGGCCCGCACAAGCGGUGGAGCAUGUGGUUUAAUUCGAUGCAACGCGAAGAACCUUACCUGGUCUUGACAUAGUAAGAACUUUCCAGAGAUGGAUUGGUGCCUUCGGGAACUUACAUACAGGUGCUGCAUGGCUGUCGUCAGCUCGUGUCGUGAGAUGUUGGGUUAAGUCCCGCAACGAGCGCAACCCUUUUCCUUAUUUGCCAGCACUUCGGGUGGGAACUUUAAGGAUACUGCCAGUGACAAACUGGAGGAAGGCGGGGACGACGUCAAGUCAUCAUGGCCCUUACGACCAGGGCUACACACGUGCUACAAUGGUCGGUACAAAGGGUUGCUACCUAGCGAUAGGAUGCUAAUCUCAAAAAGCCGAUCGUAGUCCGGAUUGGAGUCUGCAACUCGACUCCAUGAAGUCGGAAUCGCUAGUAAUCGCGGAUCAGAAUGCCGCGGUGAAUACGUUCCCGGGCCUUGUACACACCGCCCGUCACACCAUGGGAGUUUGUUGCACCAGAAGUAGGUAGUCUAACCGUAAGGAGGACGC